rnacentral:rRNA from 1 species
GAACCGGGAUGAGCUCAAAUUUAAAAUCUGGCGUCUUUCAGGCGUCCGAGUUGUAAUCUAUAGAGGCGUUUUCCGCGCCGGACCGCGUCCAAGUCUCUUGGAAUAGAGUAUCAAAGAGGGUGACAAUCCCGUACUUGACGCGACAACCGGUGCUCUGUGAUACGUUCUCAAUGAGUCGAGUUGUUUGGGAAUGCAGCUCUAAAUGGGUGGUAAAUUCCAUCUAAGGCUAAAUAUUGGCGAGAGACCGAUAGCGAACAAGUACCGUGAGGGAAAGAUGAAAAGCACUUUGGAAAGAGAGUUAAACAGCACGUGAAAUUGUUAAAAGGGAAACGAUUGAAGUCAGUCGUGUGAAAGGUAUUCAGCCGUCUCUGGCGGUGUAUUUGCCUUUCACGGGUCAACAUCAGUUUGAUCCGGUAGAAAAAGGCAGGAGGAAGGUGGCACCCUCGGGUGUGUUAUAGCCUCUUGUCAUAUGUGCCGGACCAGACUGAGGAACGCAGCUUGCCGCAAGGCCGGGGUUCGCCCACGUACAAGCUUAGGAU